rnacentral:rRNA from 1 species
UCAGCACGCCGCGUGAGGGAUGACGGCCUUCGGGUUGUAAACCUCUUUCAGUACCGACGAAGCGCCGAUGAUGGUGGUGACGGUAGGUACAGAAGAAGCACCGGCCAACUACGUGCCAGCAGCCGCGGUAAUACGUAGGGUGCGAGCGUUGUCCGGAAUUAUUGGGCGUAAAGGGCUCGUAGGCGGUUUGUCACGUCGGGAGUGAAAACACCGGGCUUAACUCGGUGCUUGCUUCCGAUACGGGCAGACUAGAGGCAUGCAGGGGAGAACGGAAUUCCUGGUGUAGCGGUGAAAUGCGCAGAUAUCAGGAGGAACACCGGUGGCGAAGGCGGUUCUCUGGGCAUGUCCUGACGCUGAGGAGCGAAAGUGUGGGGAGCGAACAGGAUUAGAUACCCUGGUAGUCCACACCGUAAACGUUGGGCGCUAGGUGUGGGGCCUAUUCCAUGGGUUCCGUGCCGCAGCUAACGCAUUAAGCGCCCCGCCUGGGGAGUACGGCCGCAAGGCUAAAACUCAAAGGAAUUGACGGGGGGGGAA